GUGCUCACUUCGGCAACACAUAUACUAAAAAUUGGAACAAUACAGAGAAGAUUAGCAAUGGCCCCUGUGCAAGGAUGAUGCAAAUUCGUGAAGUGUUCCAUUAUUUA